CGAACGCAUCCAGAUAUCGGCUUGUUGACAACAGGAUAUAACAGAUCUGUUGCAGAUCUGUUCCGAAUUGCGCGUUUCUGGCUGUGUAUAGAGAGUACUUUUUUAAAUGAGUUUUGUAUUAUACUUAAAUUUGAUAUGAGUUAGCUAAUUGCAUGGGAACGAGCGGUGCAUUCAUCAGUGGAAAAACUGGUAAAAAGGGCGACGCCCAAAAGAGGUUUUUCUAUUUGUCGAAUAUCCAUGUGUCUUUUACAUAUUUCUGGUAUUUCAAAUACUAUAUUGUAUAUAUCUCCAGCAUUUUUCGCCCGAAUUACGUUUAUAAUGUGCCCGAACUUCAUCUUCACUGGGGGAGUGGCAAAUACCCCCGCCCCCCACGCCUAUGGGAAAAAAGUCUCUUUAGGACACAAGUCUAAAACUGCAGUUAAAAAGCAGCUAUAUGUCAGCAAAACUGACUAUGAAAGAG